UAAGAGAGAAGCUAAGUGGAUAUGCGAUUGGUUUGAAACCAGUUAUAGGGGGUUCGAGUCCUUCCUUUCU
rnacentral:tRNA from 1 species